GUACCCGCUGAACUUAAGCAUAUCAAUAAGCGGAGGAAAAGAAACCAACAGGGAUUGCCCCAGUAACGGCGAGUGAAGCGGCACCAGCCCAGAUUUGAAAUCCGGUCUCCGUAUUCUGGGGACUUGAGUUGUAAUCUGCAGAGGGUGCCCCGGGUGUAGCCAGCCGCCGAGUUCCCUGGGACGGGACGCCGUAGAGGGUGAGAGCCCCGUGCGGCGGCGUGGUAAGCCUACAAGGGGCCCCUUCGGAGAGUCGCGUAGCUUGGGAAUGCUGCGCAAAGCGGGAGGUAUACCCCUUCUAAGGCUAAAUACCGGCCGGAGACCGAUAGCGCACAAGUAGAGUGAUCGAAAGAUGAAAAGCACCUUGGAAAGGGGGUCAAACAGUACGUGAAAUUGCUGAGGGGGAAGCGCCUGCCCUCAGACUCGGGCCCUGCGGCUAUCACCUGGCCCCAUGCGGGCCAGGGCAUUCCGUAGGGCCUGGGCCAGCGCCGGCUGGCCUCCCAGGGCGUAAAGGCACUGGGAAUGUUGCCGCCCUUCUGGGCGGUGUUAUAGCCCAGUGCGUAAUGCCCCGGGGCCGGCCGAGGCCCUCGCUUUGGCAAGGGCGACUGGCCAUAAUGGGGGCCGGCGGCCCGUCUUGAAACACGGAUCCAAGGAGUCGUCCUCGCGCGCGAGUGCUCGGGUGUCAAGCCCAGGCGCGUAGUGAAAGCGAACGCUGGUGGGAGCCCCUUGGGGCGCACCACCGACCGAUCCGGAGGUCCUCCGAAGGAUUUGAGUAGGAGCGCGCGGGGCCGGACCCGAAAGAGGGUGAACUAUGCGUGGGUAGGGCGAAGCCAGGGGAAACCCUGGUGGAGGCUCGCAGCGGUUCUGACGUGCAAAUCGAUCGUCAAACCUGGCAUGGGGGCGAAAGACUAAUCGAACCUUCUAGUAGCUGGUUUCCGCCGAAGUUUCCCUCAGGAUAGCAGUGUCGAGCUCAGUUUUAUGAGGUAAAGCGAAUGAUUAGGGACUCGGGGGCGACGUACUGCCUUCAUCCAUUCUCAAACUUUAAAUAUGUAAGAAGCCCUUGUUUCUUUAGUGAACGUGGGCGCUCGAAUGUACCGACACUAGUGGGCCAUUUUUGGUAAGCAGAACUGGCG
rnacentral:rRNA from 1 species